AGUGAACGCUGGCGGUAGGCCUAACACAUGCAAGUCGAACGGCAGCACAGUAAGAGCUUGCUCUUACGGGUGGCGAGUGGCGGACGGGUGAGGAAUACAUCGGAAUCUACUUUUUCGUGGGGGAUAACGUAGGGAAACUUACGCUAAUACCGCAUACGACCUACGGGUGAAAGCAGGGGAUAUUCGGACCUUGCGCGAUUGAAUUAGCCGAUGUCGGAUUAGCUAGUUGGCUGGGUAAAGGCCUACCAAGGCGACGAUCCGUAGCUGGUCUGAGAGGAUGAUCAGCCACACUGGAACUGAGACACGGUCCAGACUCCUACGGGAGGCAGCAGUGGGGAAUAUUGGGCAAUGGGCGCAAGCCUGACCGAGCCAUGCCGCGUGAGUGAAGAAGGCCUUCGGGUUGUAAAGCCCUUUUGUUGGGAAAGAAAAGAAGCGGGUUAAUCCCCCGCUGUUCUGACGGUACCCAAAGAAUAAGCACCGGCUAACUUCGUG
rnacentral:rRNA from 1 species